UACGUAGGGUGCAAGCGUUGUCCGGAAUUAUUGGGCGUAAAGAGCUCGUAGGCGGUUCGUCGCGUCGGCUGUGAAAACCCGGAGCUCAACUCCGGGCCUGCAGUCGAUACGGGCGGACUUGAGUGUUGCAGGGGAGACUGGAAUUCCUGGUGUAGCGGUGAAAUGCGCAGAUAGCAGGAGGAACACCGGUGGCGAAGGCGGGUCUCUGGGCAACUACUGACGCUGAGGAGCGAAAGCGUGGGGAGCGAACAGG
rnacentral:rRNA from 1 species